rnacentral:rRNA from 1 species
UACAGAGGUCUCAAGCGUUUGUUCGGAUUCAUUGGGCGUAAAGGGUGCGUAGGUGGCGCUGUAAGUCAGGUGUGAAAUUUCGGAGCUCAACUCCGAAACUGCAUUUGAUACUGCGGUGCUUGAGGACUGGAGAGGAGACUGGAAUUCACGGUGUAGCAGUGAAAUGCGUAGAUAUCGUGAGGAAGACCAGUGGCGAAGGCGGGUCUCUGGACAGUUCCUGACACUGAGGCACGAAGGCCAGGGGGAGCAAACGGGG